rnacentral:rRNA from 1 species
GUAGGGAAUCUUCCACAAUGGGCGCAAGCCUGAUGGAGCAACACCGCGUGAGUGAAGAAGGGUUUCGGCUCGUAAAACUCUGUUGUUAAAGAAGAACGUAUCUAAGAGUAACUGCUUAGGUAGUGACGGUAUUUAACCAGAAAGCCACGGCUAACUACGUGCCAGCAGCCGCGGUAAUACGUAGGUGGCAAGCGUUAUCCGGAUUUAUUGGGCGGAAAGCGAGCGCAGGCGGUUUUUUAAGUCUGAUGUGAAAGCCUUCGGCUUAACCGAAGAAGUGCAUCGGAAACUGGGAAACUUGAGUGCAGAAGAGGGCAGUGGAACUCCAUGUGUAGCGGUGAAAUGCGUAGAUAUAUGGAAGAACACCAGUGGCGAAGGCGGCUGUCUGGUCUGUAACUGACGCUGAGGCUCGAAAGCAUGGGUAGCGAACAGGAUUAGAAACCCGUGUAGUCC